rnacentral:misc_RNA from 1 species
GAUGAAGAACGUAGCGAAAUGCGAUAAGUAGUGUGAAUUGCAGAAUUCAGUGAAUCAUCGAAUCUUUGAACGCACAUUGCGCCCCUUGGUAUCCCGAGGGGCAUGCCUGUUCGAGCGUCAUUUCACCACUCAAGCCUGGCUUGGUGUUGGGCGACGUCCUCUUUGGGGACGCGCCUCGAAACGCUCGGCGGCGAGGCACCGGCUUUAAGCGUAGCAGAAUCUUUCGCUUUGGAAGUCGGGGCCCCGUCUGCCGGAAGACCUGCUCGCAAGGUUGACCUCGGAUCAGGCAGGGAUACCCGCUGAACUUAAGCAUAUCAAUAAGCGGAGGA